rnacentral:lncRNA from 1 species
AGGUAAUUUAAUUGAAUGAUAAUCCCAUUCUGUUCUCUUAAAUGCGGAUGAUUAUGGAGAAUGACGGUCGAUGACUCACCCGAUAAGACCACGACUGGGAGACGGCACAGGGUCUAUGAAGAUAUGCCACAUGGGCACAUUUUAUCUUACGAAGCAUCGUAAGAAUUUAUUUUCACUUCAGAGAAGGUGCAUCAUUGACUGUUUGGCCAUUAACUCCUGAGAAGCAUCGAUUGACGAUUAAUGUGGCUUUAGCACUUAUAAAUAGGAAACCAGAGAGCAAAAGGAUCUCUACCCCUCUUUCUAUGGCAAGAAGUCCCCUUCUCCACUUGUUGCCAUAUCGUUGCCUUCGAAUCUGCCACCCUUAGAGUUAAUUAAGCAAUGGAUGAGAGAGUGGAAUGCCAUUAUAAGGGAUGCCCGUCGGAGGCAUUUAGUCUAUGAAAGAGAGGGAGCUAGGUGGGCCGACGCAUCCUCUUCUCAUGGGCUUUCCCCUCCUUUACC